GAGGUUCUCUGGGAGUUGGCUCAUCUUCCAACAUUGCCCAGCAGUUUGAUUCAACAAGCCUUGGAGGAGCAUUUGACAAUCCUUAGUGAUGCAUAUGCGGUGAAGGAGGCAAUAAAAAGAAGCUACAUCAUCAAAUGCAUAGAAGACAUCAAGAGGUCAUCCCAACAUAAUAAUCCUCAGUUUGUGUGGGUGGUACCAGCUUUACGUCAGCUCCAUGAAAUCACACGCUCAUUUAUUAAGCAGACCUACCAAAAGCAAGAUAAGAGCAUUAUUCAGGAUCUGAAGAAAACUUUGAAAUAGUGAAGCUGGUGACAAGCAGCUUAAUAGCAUGCCACCGAUUGGCCGCAUCCGUGGCAGGUCCUGGGGGCCUGUCAGGAGCAACCUUAGUGGAUUGCCGAUACACGUACCGGGAGUACUUAGAGGCACAUCUGAAAUUUCUGGCAUUUUUUCUCCAAGAGGCUACGCUUUACUUAGGAUGGAAUCGUGCUCGGGAAAUCUGGGAAUGCCUUGUGACAGGCCAAGAUGUUUGUGAACUAGAUCGAGAGAUGUGCUUUGAAUGGUUUACAAAGGGGCAGCACGAUCUCGAGAGUGAUGUGCAGCAGCAGCUUUUUAAAGAAAAAAUUCUUAAAUUGGAGUCUUAUGAAAUCACUAUGAAUGGUUUUGGUUUGUUUAAGACCUUUUUUGAAAAUGUGAACCUCUGUGAUCAUCGAUUGAAACGUCAAGGAACUCAGCUGCAUGUAGAAAAACUGGAAUUAAUAGGAAUGGAUUUUAUUUGGAAGAUCGCAAUGGAGUCACCUGAUGAAGAAAUAGCAAAUGAAGCUAUUCAGCUAAU